UACGGGGGGGGCAAGCGUUGUUCGGAAUUACUGGGCGUAAAGGGCUCGUAGGCGGCCAACUAAGUCAGACGUGAAAUCCCUCGGCUUAACCGGGGAACUGCGUCUGAUACUGGAUGGCUUGAGGUUGGGAGAGGGAUGCGGAAUUCCAGGUGUAGCGGUGAAAUGCGUAGAUAUCUGGAGGAACACCGGUGGCGAAGGCGGCAUCCUGGACCGGCACUGACGCUGAGGCGCGAAAGCGUGGGGAGCAAACAGG
rnacentral:rRNA from 1 species